rnacentral:rRNA from 1 species
AACGAACGCUGGCGGCAGGCUUAACACAUGCAAGUCGAGCGCCCCGCAAGGGGAGCGGCAGACGGGUGAGUAACGCGUGGGAACGUACCCUUUGCUACGGAAUAGCUCCGGGAAACUAGAAUUAAUACCGUAUGUGCCCUACGGGGGAAAGAUUUAUCGGCAAAGGAUCGGCCCGCGUUGGAUUAGCUAGUUGGUGGGGUAAUGGCCUACCAAGGCGACGAUCCAUAGCUGGUCUGACAGGAUGAUCAGCCACAUUGGGACUGAGACACGGCCCAAACUCCUACGGGAGGCAGCAGUGGGGAAUAUUGGACAAUGGGCGCAAGCCUGAUCCAGCCAUGCCGCGUGAGUGAUGAAGGCCUUAGGGUUGUAAAGCUCUUUCACCGGAGAAGAUAAUGACGGUAUCCGGAGAAUAAGCACCGGCUAACUACGUGCCAGCCGCCGCCGUAAUAC